rnacentral:misc_RNA from 1 species
GUGGGAUUCUUGUUAUAUGGUGGGAGGUUGUUUGUCAUGCUAAGGCGAUUCCCCAUUGAAUCUAGAGGUCGUCAAAAGAAGCUUUAUGAGGUUGGUUGUGUGACAGGAAUUUGCUGUACUUGUUUUUUGAUUAGAUGUUUCAUGGUUGCCAUCUCAGCAUUUGACAAGAAAGCUGAUCUUGAUGUCCUCUAUCAUCCCCUUCUCAAUCUUAUCUAUUACAUGAUGGUGGAGCUUUUACCAUCUUCUCUGGUGCUCUUCAUCUUGCGGAAGCUGCCCCCAAAGCGCAUCUCUGAUCAAUGUCACCCCAUAAGAUAAAAAGAGGGAUAAAAGGCAAAAGCAUAAAGGAA